UACAGAGGGGAAGCACAGUUUGCAAAGAACCUGUAGGGAGAUAUUCUGCAAUCACAAGGUGGGAUUAGAGCAUGCAGAGUCAAGGAGGAAGCUCAUGGAAUCCUUUCCUCAGUAGAAGAGUGUCUGGCAAGAGGGGAUGAGAGAUGGGGAGCAGCUAGUGUGGAGCUGUAGGCUCCACUGGUGAGCCCUGAUAAAAAGGCAAGACUGGGCUUCCAGAGAGGCAUUUAAUUAAGAGGGAAAAACUUCAAGUCCCAGGAAGGCAGAAGGAGGUUUUAAAAGGAGGGGGCUAAAGCAUGAUCAGGCUGGAGGGCUGAGCUGUGAGAAGAGACCGCUGUGCGACAAGAGUGCAUUUUGGCAGAAGUGCUUGAGAGGAAGGAGCCUGCUACUCCAGCGUCUCUGUAGGCCACCAGCUGAUUAUUCAAAGCAAUGCUCAGUAUAAUAAUACCACGUGAAGAAGAAAGGGGACUGCACCUUGAAGGUGACCGAUCGUGUCAGAUCUUGGACAUUUAAUAUCACUGUAUGUUCAGAAUCAUCGCUGAGAGGAAUUAAAAUGAAAGGACAGAAAUUAGGCACAGUAUGGAUACAGAGCUGGGUGGGAAAAGCAGUCUAGCAAAUCAAGGUUUUUCCUUAAAUUGAACUACAAAACAGUAAAGUUAUCUCUAUGAAAAAGCAAAUGUCCCCUUGGUGAUUAUCCUCUGAAACUGGGCCCGGCUCUUGUGAUAAAAGUCAGUCCAUCCAGCAAAUCAAUCGUAAAGUCAGUUAAUCUGGUUCCCUGGUGAUUUCCCUUCUGUAGGCGACUUCUCACAUGACAGCCAUUGCUGUGGUUGUCCCAUGGGACAUCCCCAAGGGACACCUCCAUGCUCAGGGUUCCCUGGCUGCUGUGAAGGUUUCUCUCUCCUUUUUCAUUUACCUGCUGAGUUCUCCCUUCUCCCACUUGUAACAAAUGGAUGAGUCAAGAGCAACAGGCUAUUUUUAUUUGUAUGGUGCUAUUGUCACAGUGCCCCAAUCAUAGACCAGGGGCUUACGGUGUUGGCACUUUACUAAUACAUUACAAAAAAACAGUUCUGCCCUGAACAGUUUAAAACCUAAGUAAAAUAGGUGCCUGUAGGACAAGAAUCCAUUUGUGGCUCCAAGGCAUAGUCCCGCAACUGUCUGAGCUAAGGCCAAUCUUUGCUUAGCCCCUAGUAGUUACAGAUCCCUUAUCCUUUCUUUUGUCCAGCUAUUUGAGGUCAACUUCUAGUAUGUACGUAUAAACAAAGCCAGGAUUUUGCAUCCACUGCCUCCCUUUUUAUCUCUUCUCCCUCUCAUUACCUUUACCCCAUUUCUGGACACUAUCAAAACAUCAUUGCGAAGAUCCAUUACUCACAAUAUUUCUUCUGAAGAGCAGUGUGCUGCCCUUGGGUUGCUCCCAAUGCCAUGCAGUAUCCUUGAGAAUAAUGCCCACAGACACAAUUUUACAAGCUUCAUUCCCGUUCCCACCCCUUCAUUAUAAACACUGUUUUCCUCCUAUUUCUUCAUUUUCAUUGCUUCUUCCUUGUUCUGCUUUUGGUUAAAAAUCUGCAUUCUUUUUCUGUAUAAAACCUCUGUUUAUGACAUGUGUCAGGAUAUCAUAUAAACUACUGCUUGAUCCCACCUGUAUUUUUUAAUCUUCUUGGAAUAUGUGCAUUUUACCAGCGUUGGUUGUUAUUGCAAUGAUUUUAGUGUGUAUGGUUUCCUAAUUUGCUAACCUUUCUAUUAAAAUUAAUAUUUAGGUUUUAUAUCUCUCAGACUGGAAUAAUGAUGUUAGCGUUAUCUGAUGUUUAUAUCUUUUAGUCACGAAAAUGUUCCUAUUUAGGCUGUAACAGGCCACACACAAGUAAUCACAAUAAAUAGCAUUUAAUAUGUUUACAGUAAUGGAAGGAUGAGGUUAAUUUCUGUUUUUAUAUUGAUGGAGUCAGCUGGGCUUGGAAUACUAUUGUUUACAAUUAGCUACAUUUUUGUUGUUGUGCUUUACCCUCAAAUUAAAUCUUUAUUUCAGAAACUAACCCCAGGGAUUCCCUGUUAUACUGAAUGUAAUAAACAGCAUUAGCUGAUAGCCUAUAGCCAAUGUUCAUUUGUAAUUAGGCUUGUGUUUAAAUAAGAAUUAUUUUCCAAAUUUUAGUGCAAUAAUUUUCUCUCAGAUUUAUUUAUGAA